UCUAUUGUUGGUCUCAAUUGCUCUUUUUGGAUAUGGGUUUUUACCAUCAAACAUGUGGUAAUUGCACUUUAUCUUCUCAAGUUGAUUCUUUUGCAAUUGUCCUUAACGCCAUAAUAGUCGUAGCUCUGGUCUUCUCUUUCACCGCAUUCUUUGUUUACAAGCAAUAUGAAUCAGAACUAGAUGGCCUACAAAGCCCUUCUUAAUUGUAGAAAGAAAUCAAAAUCAUUGUUGAUAGCGCUGUCUACACUGCUGUCGCAUCAUUUCUUCGUAACUACAGGAUAUUGCAUGAACCCAACGCCCAUACAGUGGUAAAAGACUGACAAUGACUCCACUGACUCGAUAUUUUUCUCGAGUGAGUUUUAAACUGCUUGUACAUGAUCUGUAGCUUAAUUAGGCUUUGUCUCAAAACUGUAGAGAUGAUUUGUCUCCUAAAAAAUAAUAUAUAUAUAUGGGAUAUAUAUUUAUA